rnacentral:rRNA from 1 species
UUUAUUGGAGAGUUUGAUCCUGGCUCAGGAUGAACGCUGGCGGCGUGCCUAAUACAUGCAAGUCGAGCGAAUGGAUUAAGAGCUUGCUCUUAUGAAGUUAGCGGCGGACGGGUGAGUAACACGUGGGUAACCUGCCCAUAAGACUGGGAUAACUCCGGGAAACCGGGGCUAAUACCGGAUAACAUUUUGAACUGCAUGGUUCGAAAUUGAAAGGCGGCUUCGGCUGUCACUUAUGGAUGGACCCGCGUCGCAUUAGCUAGUUGGUGAGGUAACGGCU